CUACGGGCGCACCAGUGGGGAAUAUUGCACAAUGGGCGCAAGCCUGAUGCAGCCAUGCCGCGUGUAUGAAGAAGGCCUUCGGGUUGUAAAGUACUUUCAGCGGGGAGGAAGGGAGUAAAGUUAAUACCUUUGCUCAUUGACGUUACCCGCAGAAGAAGCACCGGCUAACUCCGUGCCAGCAGCCGCGGUAAUACGGAGGGUGAAGCGUUAAUCGGAAUUACUGGGCGGAAAGCGCACGCAGGCGGUUUGUUAAGUCAGAUGUGAAAUCCCCGGGCUCAACCUGGGAACUGCAUCUGAUACUGGCAAGCUUGAGUCUCGUAGAGGGGGGUAGAAUUCCAGGUGUAGCGGUGAAAUGCGUAGAGAUCUGGAGGAAUACCAGUGGCGAUGGCGGCCCCCUGGACGAAGACUGACGCUCAGGUGCGAAAGCGUGGGGAGCAAACAGGAUUAGAUACCCGCGUAGUC
rnacentral:rRNA from 1 species